UACACAUGCAGUCGAGGGGUAUAAGUAGCAAUACUANGAGACCGGCGCACGGGUGCGUAACGCGUAUGCAAUCUACCUUAUACAGAGGGAUAGCCCAGAGAAAUUUGGAUUAAUACCUCAUAGUGUUAUUGAGUGGCAUCACUUAAUAACUAAAGUUCCAACGGUAUAAGAUGAGCAUGCGUCCUAUUAGCUAGAUGGUAAGGUAACGGCUUACCAUGGCUACGAUAGGUAGGGGUCCUGAGAGGGAGAUCCCCCACACUGGUACUGAGACACGGACCAGACUCCUACGGGAGGCAGCAGUGAGGAAUAUUGGACAAUGGGCGCAAGCCUGAUCCAGCCAUGCCGCGUGCAGGAAGAAGCAUCUAUGGUGUGUAAACUGCUUUUGUACGGGAAGAAACACUCCUACGUGUAGGAGCUUGACGGUACCGUAAGAAUAAGGAUCGGCUAACUCCGUGCCAGCAGCCGCGGUAAUACGGAGGAUCCAAGCGUUAUCCGGAAUCAUUGGGUUUAAAGGGUCCGUAGGCGGUUUAAUAAGUCAGUGGUGAAAUCUGGUCGCUCAACGAUCAAACGGCCAUUGAUACUGUUAGACUUGAAUUACU
rnacentral:rRNA from 2 species